rnacentral:rRNA from 1 species
UUGGAGGGCAAGUCUGGUGCCAGCAGCCGCGGUAAUUCCAGCUCCAAUAGCGUAUAUUAAAGUUGUUGCAGUUAAAAAGCUCGUAGUUGAAUUUCGGGAUCAAAUUGUUGGUCGUGCUUCAGUACGCACUGGCAUUAUUGGUUCUUACCUUCUGAAGAACCGCGAUGUCAUUAAUUUGGUGUCGUGGGGAAUCAGGACUGUUACUUUGAAAAAAUUAGAGUGUUUAAAGCAGGCGCACGCUUGAAUACAUUAGCAUGGAAUAAUGAAAUAGGACGUUUGAUUCUAUUUUGUUGGUUUCUAGGAUCGACGUAAUGAUUAAUAGGGAUAGUUGGGGGCAUUAGUAUUCAAUUGUCAGGGGUGAAAUUCCUGGAUUUAUUGAAGACUAACUACUGCGAAAGCAUUUGCCAAGGAUGUUUUCAUUAAUCAAGAACGAAAGUUAGGGGAUCGAAGACGAUCAGAUACCGUCGUAGUCUUAACCAUAAACUAUGCCGACUAGGGAUCGGAUGAUGUUAAUUUUUUAAUGACUCAUUCGGCGCCUUACGGGAAACCAAAG